AAGUCUGUGCUAACCCUGUUCCGGAGUAGAGCCAGCUAGCUGUGGACUUAGUUUGGUGCUAGCCCUGGACUGAAGUUGGUGCUAGCUGUGGACUAAGGUUGGUGCUAGUCCACUUUAGAAUGUGGCAAGUGUGAACACUUGCUUAGCCUCAGGCUAAAAUCUUCCUUAGCCCAGGACUAAGGUUGGUGCUAUCCCAGGGCUAAGGUUGGUGCUAGCCCUGGGCUAAGGUUGGUGCUAGCCCUGGGCUGAAGUUGGUGCUAGCCCUGGGCUGAAGUUGGUGCUAGCCCAGGGCUGAAGUUGGUGCUAGCCCUGGGCUAAGGUUGGUGCUAGCCCAGGUCUGAAGUUGGUGCUAGCCCUGGGCUGAGGUUGGUGCUAGCCCUGGGCUAAGGUUGGUGCUAGCCCAGGUCUGAAGUUGGUGCUAGCCCUGGGCUGAAGUUGGUGCUAGCCCUGGGCUAAGGUUGGUGCUAGCCCAGGUCUGAAGUUGGUGCUAGCCCUGGGCUAAGGUUGGUGCUAGCCCUGGGCUAAGGUUGGUGCUAGCCCUGGGCUAAGGUUGGUGCUAGCCCAGGGCUGAAGUUGGUGCUAGCCCAAAUGUUGUUGCCUGGUGGACGGUGUUUUUUCUUACAGCUAAUGCAUUUACACUCACAUACAAACAUAUUCACAUCUCACCGUAACAGUGUCUCUCAUAGUCCAUCUCUCUCAUCUCCGCACCCCUCUCUCUCUCUCUCCUUCCCUCUCUCUCUCUCUCUCUCUCUAGCUCUCAGAUGUUGGGAAGGUGAUUCUCUCUCCUUCACUCUCUCACUCCUCUCACUCUUUCCCUCUGUCUCUCUCCUUUUCUCUCUCCGUCUCUCUCUCAUAUGUUGGACAGGUGAUUCUUCUCUCUAGAUGUUGGACAGGUGUUUCUCCUCUCUAGAUGUUGGACAGGUGUUUCUCCUCUCUAGAUGUUGGGCAGGUAAUUCUCCUCUCUAGAUGUUGGACAGGUGUUUCUCCUCUCUAGAUGUUGGACAGGUGAUUCUCCUCUCUAGAUGUUGGACAGGUGUUUCUCCUCUCUAGAUGUUGGACAGGUGUUUCUCCUCUCUAGAUGUGGGACAGGUGUUUCUCCUCUCUAGAUGUGGGACAGGUGUUUCUCCUCUCUAGAUGUUGGACAGGUGUUUCUCCUCUCUAGAUGUGGGACAGGUAUUUCUCCUCUCUAGAUGUUGGACAGGUGAUUCACCUCUCUAGAUGUUGGACAGGUGAUUCUCCUCUCUAGAUGUUGGACAGGUGAUUCUUCUCUCUCUAGAUGUUGGACAGGUGUUUCUCCUCUCUAGAUGUUGGACAGGUGAUUCUCCUCUCUAGAUGUUGGACAGGUGUUUCUCCUCUCUAGAUGUUGGACAGGUGAUUCUCCUCUCUAGAUGAUGGACAGGUGUUUCUCCUCUCUAGAUGUUGGACAGGUGAUUCUCCUCUCUAGAUGUUGGACAGGUGAUUCUCCUCUCUAGAUGUUGGACAGGUGUUUCUCCUCUCUAGAUGUUGGACAGGUGUUUCUCCUCUCUAGAUGUUGGACAGGUGUUUCUCCUCUCUAGAUGUUGGACAGGUGAUUCUCCUCUCUAGAUGUUGGACAGGUGAUUCUCCUCUCUAGAUGUUGGACAGGUGAUUCUCCUCUCUAGAUGUUGGGCAGGUGAUUCUCCUCUCUAGAUGUUGGACAGGUGUUUCUCCUCUCUAGAUGUUGGACAGGUGAUUCUCCUCUCUAGAUGUUGGGCAGGUGAUUCCCCUCUCUAGAUGUUGGACAGGUGUUUCUCCUCUCUAGAUGUGGGACAGGUGUUUCUCCUCUCUAGAUGUUGGAGAGGUGAUUCUUCUCUCUCUAGAUGUUGGUCAGGUGAUUCUUCUCUCUCUAGAUGUUGGACAGGUGAUUCUCCUCUCUAGAUGUUGGACAGGUGUUUCUCCUCUCUAGAUGUUGGACAGGUGAUUCUCCUCUCUAGAUGUUGGACAGGUGUUUCUCCUCUCUAGAUAUUGGACAGGUGUUUCUCCUCUCUAGAUGUUGGACAGGUGAUUCUUCUCUCUCUAGAUGUUGGGCAGGUGAUUCUCCUCUCUAGAUGUUGGACAGGUGAUUCUCCUCUCUAGAUGUUGGACAGGUGAUUCUCCUCUCUAGAUGUUGGACAGGUGUUUCUCCUCUCUAGAUGUUGGACAGGUGUUUCUCCUCUCUAGAUGUUGGACAGGUGAUUCUCCUCUCUAGAUGUUGGACAGGUGUUUCUCCUCUCUAGAUGUUGGACAGGUGUUUCUCCUCUCUAGAUGUUGGACAGGUGAUUCUCCUCUCUAGAUGUUGGACAGGUGUUUCUCCUCUCUAGAUGUUGGACAGGUGAUUCUCCUCUCUAGAUGUUGGACAGGUGAUUCUUCUCUCUCUAGAUGUUGGGCAGGUGUUUCUCCUCUCUAGAUGUUGGACAGGUGAUUCUCCUCUCUAGAUGUUGGACAGGUGUUUCUCCUCUCUAGAUGUUGGGCAGGUGAUGGUCUGUGUAUCUGUGUUUGUUCUGUUUCUUGGUCUCUGGAGCAGGAGAUAUGUUGUUGCUGGGGAGCUGAGGAAGGUAC